rnacentral:rRNA from 1 species
CCUACGGGAGGCAGCAGUGGAGAAUUUUCCGCAAUGGGCGAAAGCCUGACGGAGCAACACCGCGUGGGGGAUGAAGGUCUUCGGAUUGUAAACCCCUGUCAUGUGGAAUGAAAUGUAAUCGCUUUAAUAAAGCGGUUAUUUGACAGUACCACAAGAGGAAGCCACGGCUAACUCCGUGCCAGCAGCCGCGGUAAUACGGAGGUGGCAAGCGUUGUUCGGAAUUACUGGGCGUAAAGAGCGCGUAGGCGGUAAAGCAAGUCAUAUGGGAAAUCCCCUGGCCCAACCAGGGAAUUGCGUUUGAUACUGCUUUACUGGAGUACAAAAGAGGAGAAUGGAAUUCCGGGUGUAGCGGUAAAAUGCGUAGAUAUCGGGAGGAACACCAAUGGCGAAAGCGGUUCUCGGGAUUGAUACUGACGCUGAGGCGCGAAAGCGGGGGGAGCAAACGGGAUUAGAUACC